rnacentral:lncRNA from 1 species
AGUUCCACAAUAGUAGUCUAUGCAAUUUAAGCAAAGCUUUGACAAGUAGUGUUUCAUUCUUGAUUUCCACAUUUGAGAUCUACGUAAUUUAGCAAAGCUUUGAUGAGCAUCGUUUCAUUCUUGAGUUCCACAAUAGAAGUCUUUGCAAUUUAAGCAAAGUAUUGAUGAGCAUUGUUUUGUUCUUGAGUUCGACAAUAGAGGUCUAUGCAAUUUAGCAAAGCUAUCUUAAGCAUUGUUUCAUUCUUGGGUUCCACAUUAGAAGUCUAUGCAAUUUAGCAAAGCAUUGAUGAGCAUUGAAUAGUUCUUGAGUUCCACAAUAGAAGUAGUCUUUGUAAUUUAUCAAAGCUUUGAUGAGCAUUAUUUAAUUCUUGAGUUCCACAAUAGAAGUGGAUGUAAUUUAAGAAAAGCUUUGAAGAGCAUUGUUUCAUUCUUGAGUUUCACAUUAGAAGUCUAUUGAAUUUAGCAAAGCUUUGAUGAGCAUUAUUUAAUUCUUGAGCUCCAUAAUAGUAGUCUUUGCAAUUUAGCAAGGCUUUGAAGAGCAUUUAUUUAUUCUAGAGUUCCACAAUAUAAGUCUAUGUAAUUUAAGCAAAGCUUUGAUGAGCAUUGUUUUAUUCUUGUGUUCCAUAUUAGAAGUCUUUGCAAUUUAGCGAAGCUUUGAUGAGCAUCGUUUUAUUGUGUUCCACAAUAGAAGUCUAUAAAAUUUAAGCAAAGCUUUGAUUAGCAUUGUUUGAUUCUUGAGUUCAACAAUAGAAGUCUACGCAAUUUAGAAAAGCAUUCAUGAGCAUUCUUUCAUUAUUGGGUUCCACAUUAUAAGUCUAUGCAAUUUAGCAAAGCUUUGAUGAGCAUUGUUUAAUUCUUGAGUUCCACAAUAGAAGUAGUCUUCGCAAUUUAGCGAAGCUUUGAUGAGCAUUUCUUUAUUUUUGAGUUCCACAAUAGUAGUCUCUGCAAUUUAAGCAAAUCUUUGAUGAGAAUUGUUUCAUUCAUGAGUUCCACAAUACAAGUCUACGUACAUUGGCAAAGCUUGGAUGAGCAACGUUCCGUUCUUGAGUUCCACAACAGAAGUCUAUGCAAUUUAAGCAAAGCUUUGAUGAGCAUUGUUUGAUUCUUGAGUUCCACAAUAGAUCUCUAUGCAAUUUUGUAAAGCUUUCAUGAGCAAUGUUUCAUUCUUGGGUUCCACAUUAGAUGUCUAUGCAAUUUAGCAAAGCAUUGAUGACCAAUGUUUAGUUCUUGAGUUCCACAAUAGAAGUAGUCUUUGCAAUUUAGCAAAGCUUUGACGAGCAUUGUUUAAUUCUUGAGUUUCAUAAUAGAAGUGAAUGCAGUUUAAAAAAAGCUUACAUGAGGGUUGUUUUAUUCUUGAGUUUAACAUUAGAAGUAUAUGAAAUUUAGCAAAGUUUUGAUGAGCAUUGUUUAAUUCUAGAGUUCCACAAUAGAAGUCUAUGCACUUUAAGCAAAGCUUUGAUGAGCAUCGUUUCAUUAUUGAGUUCCACAUUAUAAGUCUGCAAUUUAGCAAAGCUUUGAUGAGCAUUGUUUAAUUCUUGAGUUCCACAAUAGAAGUAGUCUUCGUAAUUUAGCAAAGCUUUGAUGAUCAAUUCUUUAUUCUUGAGUUCAACCAUAGUAGUCUAUGCAAUUUCAGCAAAGCUUUGAUGAGCAGUGUUUCAUUCUUGAUUUCCACAUUUGAGGUCUACGCAAUUUAGCAAAGCUUUGAUGAGUAUUGUUUCAUUCUUGAGUUCCACAAUAGAAGUCUAUGCAAUUUAAGCAAAGUAUUGAUGAGCAUUGUUUUGUUCUUGAGUUCCACAAUAGAGGUCUAUGCAAUUUAGUAAAUCUAUCUUAAGCAUUGUUUCAUUCUUGGGUUCCACAUUAGAAGUCUACGCAAUUUAGCAAAGCAUUGAUUAGUUCUUGAGUUCCACAAUAGAAGUAGUCUUUGUAAUUUAUCAAAGCUUUGAUGAGUAUUAUUUAAUUCUUGAGUUCCACAAUAGAAAUUGAUGUAAUUUAAGCAAAGCUUUGAAGAGCAUUGUUUCAUUCUUGAGUUUCACAUUAGAAGUCUAUUGAAUUUAGCAAAGCUUUGAUGAGCAUUAUUUAAUUCUUGAGCUCCAUAUUAGUAGUCUUCGCAAUUUAGCAAGGCUUUGAAGAGCAUUUCUUUAUUCUUGAGUUCCACAAUAUAAGUCUAUGUAAUUUAAGCAAAGCUUUGAUGAGCAUUGUUUUAUUCUUGUGUUCCACAUUAGAAGUCUAUGCAAUUUAGCGAAGCUUUGAUGAGCAUCGUUUUAUUGUGUUCCACAAUAGAAGUCUAUAAAAUUUAAGCAAAGCUUUGAUUAGCAUUCCACAAUAGAAGUCUAUAAAAUUUAAGCAAAGCUUUGAUUAGCAUUGUUUGAUUCUUGAGUUCAACAAUAGAAGUCUAUGCAAUUUAGCAAAGCAUUCAUGAGCAUUCUUUCAUUCUUGGGUUCCACAUUAGAAGUCUAUGUAAUUUAUUAAUGCUUUGAUGAGCAUUGCUUAAUACCUUAGUUCCACAAUAGAAGUCUAUGCAAUUUAGCAAAGCAUUGAUGAGCAUUAUUUAAUUCUUGAGUUCCACAAUAGAAGUAGUCGUUGCAUUUUAAUAAAGCUUUGAUGAGCAUUGUUUAAUUCUUUGGAUCCACAAUAGAAGUGUCUGUAAUUUUUCCAAAGCUUUGAUGAGCAUUGUCUCUUUCUUUAGUUCCACAUUAGAAGUCUAUGCAAUUCAGAAAAGCUUUGAUGAACAUUGUUUAUUGAGUUCCACAAUAGAAGUGGUCUUCGUAAUUUCGCAAAGCUUUGAUGAGUAUUGUUUAG